UGUAAUGAGAUGUUUGCCUGUGAGUACCUGC
rnacentral:piRNA from 1 species